rnacentral:rRNA from 1 species
GACGAACGCUGGCGGCGUGCUUAACACAUGCAAGUCGAACGGAAAGGCCCUGCUUUUGUGGGGUGCUCGAGUGGCGAACGGGUGAGUAACACGUGAGUAACCUGCCCUUGACUUUGGGAUAACUUCAGGAAACUGGGGCUAAUACCGGAUAGGAGCUCCUGCUGCAUGGUGGGGGUUGGAAAGUUUCGGCGGUUGGGGAUGGACUCGCGGCUUAUCAGCUUGUUGGUGGGGUAGUGGCUUACCAGGGCUUUGACGGGUAGCCGGCCUGAGAGGGUGACCGGCCACAUUGGGACUGAGAGACGGCCCAGACUCCUACGGGAGGCAGCAGUGGGGAAUAUUGCACAAUGGGCGGAAGCCUGAUGCAGCAACGCCGCGUGCGGGAUGACGGCCUUCGGGUUGUAAACCGCUUUCGCCUGUGACGAAGCGUGAGUGACGGUAAUGGGUAAAGAAGCACCGGCUAACUACGUG